GAUUUAAGAUGGCGGCCAUUUGCGAGUGAGCGCAUUGCAAGAGAGGCAAAAAUUUCGGCACAUAGAUGUAAAUACAAGGCUGAUGAAACUCUCAAAAUACUGGAAUAGACAGCACAAAAGCUGAUACUGAUUCCUGAAUAUAUUUGAAGCAAAAAGCAUGAUAAAUCGGGACGAAAAUGGAGGCUUGAUAAAGUUCAAGCAUAUUUUUGCUUCUCUUGCAAUGCGCUCACUCGCAACUGGCCGCCAUCUUGAAUC